UCCACUUCGGUGGAGGACACCGGCGAAAGGGCUAGUAAUGGUAUCGAACGUACCCCGAGGUUGAGGAUAGCUGGGGGAAACUCCAGGUAAUACUCGAUAAGCUCUACGGAGGAAAGCUCCGGCGCCUUGGGAGCGGCGAUACUCCUAUCAGGUAGUUGGUGGGGUAAAGGCCUACCAAGCCAAAGACGGGUAGCGGGUGUGAGAGCAUGACCCGCAGCAUCGGGACUGAGACACUGCCCGGACUCCUACGGGAGGCUGCAGUAACGAAUCUUCCGCAAUGCGCGAAAGCGUGACGGAGCAAUGCCGCGUGUGGGAUGAAGCGGUUUCGCCGCGUAAACCACUGUCAGGUCCUAGGAAGAACUGACCGGGACCAGAGGAAGGGCCGGCUAAUCUCGUGCCAGCAGCCGCGGUAAGACGAGAGGCCCGAGCGUUAAUCAGAAUCACUGGGCUUAAAGGGUGCGUAGGCGGACUUGUAAGUGUCCUGUGAAAUCCCACGGCUCAACCGUGGAAUUGCGGGGCAAACUGUAAGUCUUGAGGCAGGUAGAGGUCGUCGGAACGUUCGGUGGAGCGGUGAAAUGCGUAGAUAUCGAACGGAACGCCGAAGGAGAAGUCAGACGACUGGGCCUGUCCUGACGCUCAGGCACGAAAGCGUGGGGAUCAAACAGGAUUAGAUACCCUGGUAGUCCACGCCGUAAACGAUGUGCACUAGACUGUUGCGGUUUUGACGCCGUGACGGUCGGAGAGAAAUUGUUAAGUGCACCGCCUGGGGAGUACGGUCGCAAGGCUAAAACUCAAAGGAAUUGACGGGGGCUCACACAAGCGGUGGAGCAUGUUGCUUAAUUCGAAGCA
rnacentral:rRNA from 1 species